GAUGUGUGUGCACCUUCAACUUCAACCACCAGUCCACCAUUACCCACCAACUUCUUUUAAUCGCAUUUAUCAUCAUCAUACAUAACUACACUCGCCGCCUCUGAAUCCACAUUGUUUCUUUCAUCGAUCCGCUUUCACCACCGAAGAAGCUUGGCUGCUGCUCCUGUGUAUGUGACUUAGUUGAGAAAGAGUUGAAGCUAAGAUGUUCUUAUAGUAUCAUCGACCGCAUCUUGUGACCUUCCAAAAAAGAAGCGAUGCCGAGUCUAAGUGUGGCAAAUUUUGUGUGAUGGAGGGAGUACUAACUACUACUCUAUGUGAGAUGUGAAUGUAAAGCAAAGAUAACAACUCGCUUUCUUGCCAUCACCUACUUCAUACUACUACAACACUUGGAACACUCGCAGACUAAAGGAGAAGAAGCUAUCCAUUGUUUGAGCUCAUCAAGAUCGGAUUGAGCUGGUGGAAGAAUCAAGUCAGGAAAUAGCCGU